UUUGGGGCGCACAAGGAAUGG
rnacentral:siRNA from 1 species